rnacentral:hammerhead_ribozyme from 1 species
AUCCAGCUGACGAGUCCCAAACAGAAGGAAACUUGUGUCCUGGAU